UGGAGGUUCUAGAGAAAGACCACGCCUCCUCCUGCAGUAUUUUGUCAUGGCAGCCCUAGCAAACUACUACAGGGACUGUGGGGGUUAGGAUGACACCAAGCAUCAAAUGCCACUCCCUGUUCCAACACUGAGACCAUUCCACAGCCCCUGAAUGACAAGACAGGCCUUCAAGCUCAAGACUACUUGGCUAGGUGAAAAGCUUGGUGAAGGAUUUUAAGGACUUCCCAUUGGCUGAAGGCUGGCAAAUGGAGUUUGCCAUCCUCUGACUACAGCCAUUCUGAGGACUGGAAAGGAUACCCUGAGAAGUGGCCUAUUUUAUUUCUGCUGGAAGGCUUUGGGACUUGGACUGACUUCCUGGAUCCUCAGCUUGCAGAUGGCCUAUUGUGGGACCUCACCUUGUGAUCACGUGAGUCAGUGCUCCUUAACAAACUCCCCUUUGUAUAUACAUCUAUCCUACUACUUCUGUCACUCUAGAGAACCUUGACGAAUACGGUUAUGCAUUUUUAUUAAUGUAAAUUAUGCCUUAAUUAACAAUAAAUACCUUCUCAACCUCCAAAAAGAGACUUUCUGUCUGAAACUUGAGAAUAAGUCUAAAGUUUUCAUUUAAUAAUGAAUUUGUAAAAGACAGGAAAAUUGAUUUUGGCAUUAAUUUGUUCAACAAAUAUCUGUUGAGCAUGUCCUAUGUGGCAGAGGCUGAGUGUGGGGUGUGGAGUGGGUGAAUGUAAGGAACAUAUAGUUCCUGGCUCCCUAGAGCUUAUUAUGGUCUAGGGGUUGGAGAGAAUUGGUACAUUGGGAUUUUAAAGGGGGUGCCAAAAGUGGUGAUGACAAAGUUCAGGGAAGAACAACUGGAGUGGAGGGAGGGCAUC
rnacentral:lncRNA from 1 species